UGUGAAUGAUGACCACUUUAUCCCCGACUCAACACAUGGGGGCUAAACUGAUUUAAUGAGCCUGACUC